rnacentral:lncRNA from 1 species
CCAAAUGGACCACAUUGACCCUAAACCCAAAAUUUAACUUGGGAUUAAGCCUAUUGACCAAAUUAGAAGGCUCCAACGUGGGUAAAUUGGACUUGGGCCAAAUCCUUGGAGGGGAUCCAAACAAGUAAACUCAUAAUUUAAACUGAGAAAUUAUGUAUUAGACAAACGGAGAAUAAUAUGAUCCCUAUGAUGUGGUGCAAGGUGAUUAAGGAUCCGUCAUCUGGACUGGUCAAACGUGGAAAAGCGAAUUACUGUAAGUAACUUGUCUUAAUCUUAUUAUGGAUCAUGAAUACGCUUUCUUACCUAAAUUAUAAGUGUAAGUAACCCGUCUUAAUCUUAUUGUAGAUUAUGUAU